rnacentral:rRNA from 1 species
UACAGAGGUCCCAAGCGUUGUUCGGAUUCACUAGGCGUAAAGGGUGCGUAGGCGGUCGGGUAAGUCUGAUGUGAAAUCUCACAGCUUAACUGUGAAACUGCAUUGGAUACUAUCCGGCUCGAGGAAUGGAGGGGAGACUGGAAUACUUGGUGUAGCAGUGAAAUGCGUAGAUAUCAAGUGGAACACCAGUGGCGAAGGCGAGUCUCUGGACAUUUCCUGACGCUGAGGCACGAAAGCCAGGGGAGCAAACGGG